UUUUUUUAAUGUUAAUAUUUGUUAGAAGUUAAGAAUACUUGAUGUGCUUGCCUGCUGGUUAAAAAUAAAAAUUGCUAUAUACUUUAUUGUUUAGCUUUAAAUAUCCAGGUCCUUCUGCAUGUCCGGACCAUUCUGAGUUUUGCUUUGAGUAACAAUGGCAUCAUGAAUGUGUGAAAGGUGUCUUUUUUAUCUCAAAUUAUGAAUGUAGAAGAGUGCCAAUUGCAAAAUACAAUGUGAUAGGCCUUUUUAAGUAUAUCCAAUGCUAGUUUUAAUGAAAAACACUGGGAAAGGUAAUAUAUUAUAUUGAAGUUGUGAAAUUGAAAAAUUGGAAAUUUAUGCAUUCCCCUAUCAGUGUAUCAGAUGAAUUGCUGAUGACUCAUUUGUUACACUGCAUUAUUAUGCCAUAAAAUUUUGAUAGAGUUUGUGUUAGGGUAGAUUUCAAGCUUAAUUUGAUAGGAGAAUCCAUUGAGGAUGGUAAAAGUAAUUUGUAACACAGGAAUACAAGGUUGGUUAAAAUAACCCAACAUGAAUAUAGUUGUAUGUCUGAAAGCGCAAGAACUUACUCUUGGAUCCAUCCAUUUUAGGCUAAUUUUGAAUUGAGAUACCCUCCCAAUUAAGUUAUUUCAGCAGAGUUACCCUUAAAUUUAUGUAGGAACAAAGAGGAAUUGAAGGAUUAUAUUAUUGAUAUUUUUCAAUUUCAAAUGGAAAUAUGUUUUUCAAAUUCUUUAGUCAUUAUCAUCAUCACCAUCAUCAUCUAGUUUCAAGCAAUAAUAUAUUGCUUGGAUCCAUGGGAAGUGGGAAAUAAGUUGAUGAUGAUGGUUGUUAUGCCCACUGAUAACUUUUAGCUGAUGGAAUUUGAUAGGAGUUGAAGAUUACAGCUUUUCUGAAAAUGUAUUAUUUAUGGAUGUCUCAAUAUAGGUGGGUUUGACAUAUCUUAUAUGUUAUAUCAAUACACAAAUCAUUUGAUGACUUUUGGAUGAAAGAGUAAUUUUGAGGGAUAACUAUUAAGAGCAAAAAAGAAUAAGCAGAAUGCUGGAUGAGAUCAUGAGAAUGAACAUGGGCCACACAUCUCCAAAGGAAUGUAACCUGAACAUUUCAACGUGACAAUGACAUAUAAGUAAUUAUCUUACAUUUCACGUCUAAAAAAUGAAUUGUAUUUACAAGCAAGGCUUGGCAAAAUCGCAAGGUUGUUGAUUUGUGAUUGGGAGCUCAUGGGUUUGAGUCACAAAAACAAUGUCUCUCCAAAAAGCAGGGGGAUGCUGUGUGGGUGGAUGACCCUUCCCCGACACUAACAAAGUGAUCAUUUGGAUUCCUUUUUUAUUAUCAAGGGGCACCACAUAUGUUGUUGCUUAUGCUACAUGUAUAAUUAUUCUGUGGCAGAGUUGUAUUAAAUACGCUAUUAUACGGUUAAAAGAGGGCAGCAAGAAGUUUUUCCUCCAAAGUAGAUGUCAGUGGCUGUUUGAUAGAUUCCUGGAGACAAGAUCUUAUGCUGGAUGAUCUUUCUUAUGCAAAAUUUUGCCGCAGAAUGGCCCUACUUAUGAUGAGACAAUGAAUAGUAAUGACAUUUAAAAAUAGAUACUCAUCAUCUUUUGCAUAAUGUAAAACUAUGCUAGUUAAAAUUAGGAAAAUUUACUAACACUUCUUGAGGUUGACCUAAUCUAUUUUUUGUCUCUAUUGUCUCAAAAUUGGGCUCUUUGGUCCUUUAGUUUGUCAAUGAUGCAACACCUUAGUCUUUGAGUUACAAUACUUUGAGUUUUUCUAUAUUUUGUCCUUACUAUUUAAGGUUUGAUUCCAAUUUAGUUCCCGAAAUUUUGAAGUUUGAUUGCAUUUUAAUCCUGACUUUAGUCC
rnacentral:misc_RNA from 1 species